GGGUCGGUUCUCAUAUUGGUAUGAGUAGCUGUCUGUAAAACAGUAGCUUAAAGCAUUGCUGGUUCGAUUCCAGCCCGACCCA
rnacentral:tRNA from 34 species